rnacentral:rRNA from 1 species
GUUUGAUCAUGGCUCAGAUUGAACGCUGGCGGCAGGCCUAACACAUGCAAGUCGAACGGUAACAGGAAGCAGCUUGCUGCUUCGCUGACGAGUGGCGGACGGGUGAGUAAUGUCUGGGAAACUGCCUGAUGGAGGGGGAUAACUACUGGAAACGGUGGCUAAUACCGCAUAACGUCGCAAGACCAAAGAGGGGGACCUUCGGGCCUCUUGCCAUCAGAUGUGCCCAGAUGGGAUUAGCUAGUUGGUGAGGUAACGGCUCACCAAGGCGACGAUCCCUAGCUGGUCUGAGAGGAUGACCAGCCACACUGGAACUGAGACACGGUCCAGACUCCUACGGGAGGCAGCAGUGGGGAAUAUUGCACAAUGGGCGCAAGCCUGAUGCAGCCAUGCCGCGUGUAUGAAGAAGGCCUUCGGGUUGUAAAGUACUUUCAGCGGGGAGGAAGGUGUUGUGGUUAAUAACCGCAGCAAUUGACGUUACCCGCAGAAGAAGCACCGGCUAACUCCGUGCCAGCAGCCGCGGUAAUACGGAGGGUGCAAGCGUUAAUCGGAAUUACUGGGCGUAAAGCGCACGCAGGCGGUCUGUCAAGUCGGAUGUGAAAUCCCCGGGCUCAACCUGGGAACUGCAUUCGAAACUGGCAGGCUUGAGUCUUGUAGAGGGGGGUAGAAUUCCAGGUGUAGCGGUGAAAUGCGUAGAGAUCUGGAGGAAUACCGGUGGCGAAGGCGGCCCCCUGGACAAAGACUGACGCUCAGGUGCGAAAGCGUGGGGAGCAAACAGGAUUAGAUACCCUGGUAGUCCACGCCGUAAACGAUGUCUACUUGGAGGUUGUGCCCUUGAGGCGUGGCUUCCGGAGCUAACGCGUUAAGUAGACCGCCUGGGGAGUACGGCCGCAAGGUUAAAACUCAAAUGAAUUGACGGGGGCCCGCACAAGCGGUGGAGCAUGUGGUUUAAUUCGAUGCAACGCGAAGAACCUUACCUGGUCUUGACAUCCACAGAACUUUCCAGAGAUGGAUUGGUGCCUUCGGGAACUGUGAGACAGGUGCUGCAUGGCUGUCGUCAGCUCGUGUUGUGAAAUGUUGGGUUAAGUCCCGCAACGAGCGCAACCCUUAUCCUUUGUUGCCAGCGGUUAGGCCGGGAACUCAAAGGAAACUGCCAGUGAUAAACUGGAGGAAGGUGGGGAUGACGUCAAGUCAUCAUGGCCCUUACGACCAGGGCUACACACGUGCUACAAUGGCGCAUACAAAGAGAAGCGACCUCGCGAGAGCAAGCGGACCUCAUAAAGUGCGUCGUAGUCCGGAUUGGAGUCUGCAACUCGACUCCAUGAAGUCGGAAUCGCUAGUAAUCGUGGAUCAGAAUGCCACGGUGAAUACGUUCCCGGGCCUUGUACACACCGCCCGUCACACCAUGGGAGUGGGUUGCAAAAGAAGUAGGUAGCUUAACCUUCGGGAGGGCGCUUACCACUUUGUGAUUCAUGACUGGGGUGAAGUCGUAACAAGGUAACCGUAGGGGAACCUGCGGUUGGAUCACCUCCUUACCUUAAAGAAGC